rnacentral:rRNA from 1 species
UAGAGUUUGCUCCUGGCUCAGAUUGAACGCUGGCGGCAGGCCUAACACAUGCAAGUCGAGCGGAUGACGGGAGCUUGCUCCUUGAUUCAGCGGCGGACGGGUGAGUAAUGCCUAGGAAUCUGCCUGGUAGUGGGGGACAACGUUUCGAAAGGAACGCUAAUACCGCAUACGUCCUACGGGAGAAAGCAGGGGACCUUCGGGCCUUGCGCUAUCAGAUGAGCCUAGGUCGGAUUAGCUAGUUGGUGGGGUAAUGGCUCACCAAGGCGACGAUCCGUAACUGGUCUGAGAGGAUGAUCAGUCACACUGGAACUGAGACACGGUCCAGACUCCUACGGGAGGCAGCAGUGGGGAAUAUUGGACAAUGGGCGAAAGCCUGAUCCAGCCAUGCCGCGUGUGUGAAGAAGGUCUU